UUUGUAGUUUAACUUGCUUUUGUUAUUUGUUUUCUUUCUAUGGCACAUCCAUGCAUCAUUACAGAUGACCAUGUUUUCUUGUUUUUAUAUAUUUUUCUAUUUAAGUUAAGAAAUGAUAAUUCUUGCAAACCAACUCACUAUGUCCUCCAUUCAUUUGAAAAUUUCGUGACAAAUAUGGGGGCUCGUCCGGGAUCUAAACCCGGGACCUCUUGCACCCAUAUUUGUCAUGACCGGCUCAAAGCCUUGACAAAUGAAAGGAGGACAGAGUAAGGUUGGCACGGUUGCAACCAAAAAUAUUUAUUAACAUAAGUAUAAAUAUAUAUAAUACAAUAAAAACAAUGUAAUCAAAUUUUGUCAGACACAUGAUGUACAAGUAUCAGACAGAACAAUAUUUUAAACUAGUAACAAGGUCAAAGUAAACAGAACAGAAAAAAAAGCCAAAACCAAACACAAAACAACCGGGAGCAAGCAAGCACACCCCCUUACCAACAAAGCCUAAACAUUUAUAGAGGGAAGAACAGGUCGACAUCGUUCCAUUGAUGAGCCUUCUAACCUCGCCCACUAGCCAGCCAUAGUAGGAAGAAUAGGACCCGUCACAAUAUUUUAUUUAUUUUUAGCCAGUACUAAAGUAAACCUAGACCAAAAGUUCAAUUUUACUCUAUCAAAAUGUGUAUCUAUCUUGUAAUUUCACAGACCAUAUCCUGUUGCCUCUUUAUAUCCGAAGUGCUGCUCUAGAAAGCUCACUGCGUUUCAGACUCUUCCAUUUAAACAAAUGAUGAAACUGCUGUGUCAGAGAGAUCCAUCUUUCUCCGGUUCUGUGUCCUGAUACUUUAUGAGGCUUUCUGUGUGUGUGAAAUGGAAUCAUUGUUUUGUCAAGGUAUUCUUAUUUUGUACAAACAAAAUCAAUAUAUUGAGAAUAUUGUAUUAUAGUCUUUAAGACAUUAAAAGAUGUUUAUUGAGUAAAUUGCUUAUUUCUUUUUUAAGAGAAUGUUUUCAUUAUUUCGUGACUGCUAAAUAAAUGACAAGGUAAUGCUGUCA